rnacentral:lncRNA from 1 species
UUUAGACUCUGAGAGUCUGUCCUUGCAGAAAUUGAUGCUCAUUUUGUAUAGUAUUUGAAACCCUACAAGUACUAUGUUGUUGUUUAGUCGUUAAGUCAUGUCCGACUCUUCGUGACCCCAUGAACCAGAGCACGCCAGGACCUCCUGUCUUCCACUGCCUCCUGGAGUUGGGUCAAAUUCAUGUUGGUAACUUUGAUGGCACUGUCCAACCAUCUCGCCCUCUGUUGUCCCCUUCUCUUCUUGUCUUCACACUUUCCCAACAUCAGGGUCUUUUCCAGGGAGUCUUCUCUUUUCAUAUGGCCAACAAGUACUAUAGAAGUUCUUAAAAGAUUCUUUGAAUCCUGAAAAGAUUUAUCAUGUUCCUGCCAUAAACCUCCUUUUCUUCCCUUUCUACCUGUUGAUUUGCAGAGGUGUACGAAAGAAAAGACACGACAAGCAGUGGAAGAAUUCAGACAAAUGCGUCACUUUUUAGAAGAACAGGAAAAGAUUCUGCUGGCCCAGUUGAAAGUAGUAGAGAAGGAGAUUGCAAGUAAAAGGGAUGAGCUGCUGGCCAGGUUCUCCGAGGAGCUCUCCUCUCUUGGAGGUCUCAUCCAGGAGAUGGAGGAGAAACAGCAGCAGCCCCCAGAGGAACUCCUACAGGAUGUGAAAAACAUCUUGGAGAAGAAUGGAAAGAGAAGGAAAUUUGAGGUUCUAGUGGGUUUUCCAGUAGAACUGAAGUGGAAGAUCUGGGACUUCUGUGAUAGCAUUUUGUGUCCAGUUGGCCCCAUGGAACUAUUCAAAGAUGCUGUAUUGUCUAGGCAAGAACUUCAGAAAGGUCAGUUACUGGCAAAAGUCACAGGUAGAACGUGGGCUGAUUAAAAAAAUGCUUGUGGUAUUUCGGUUGGAUUAAAACAGUUCUGUCCUUCAAAUGUUGAAAUUGGCCACAGCUUAAUUAUGAGAAGUGGGCUCAAGGACUCCACCCCUAGAAUUCACCCGGAAUUUCCCAAAGAGUGGGAGAGCAAACUAGGAGCAGAAGAGAGGUUUCCACACUACCUUUCCACUCUGUUUCAUGUGUUUCAGGUUUGAAGAAGAGGGAGGGAGCUCAGCUGCUCUGUCACAGUUUAGCAAGGCUACCUGGGAAAUGUAGGCAGUUGCUACCUAUUGGAACUACUUUACCCAUGUAGCCUUGCAGCAGCUGCCAGGCAAUCCUGUCCCUAUUCAACAGGCCUAUAGUGAUGUUUGGGCUCAUACAUACAGUGGAAAUACAGAGGUUGAGUAAUAGCAGUAAAGUUCAACAUACGAUGGGCAAACGUCCACACAGUUUGCAAACUCUGGCUUUCCAAGCCUGUAUAUAUAUAUAAACAGCCCUAGAUAUAUAUAUAUAGAGAGAGAGGCAGAGAGAGAUAGGGCUAUAUAUACAAAACCUGGUUCUGAUCUGCAGUGCAUUGGGAAAUACUGUUUUAUAGGGAAUACGAUGCCUCUGGUGCGCUUAGAGUCAACCUAUUAGCCAUUCAGCAAGUUGAUGUUCUUUACCUUCCCUUUCCUUUUCUUCCCUGACAGCAAAUAUCUUUCUUGAUCUAAACACAGCCCAUCAGCAACUCAUCUUGACUGAGGAUGGUAAGAGCGUAAGAUAUGGAGGCAAAUGCCAAGACUUGCCCAUCAAUCCUGAGAGAUUCAGCGGAAGUCCUUCUGUGCUGGGCAGCAAGGGGUUCACGGGAGGCAGACAUUUCUGGGAAGUCGUUGUUGGAAGUGAGGAGCAAUGGAUCAUAGGAGUGGCCAAAAAAUCUAUGAAGAGAAAGGGUGAUCUUGUCUAUAGUCCUAGAGGAGGCCUCUGGGCUAUAGGGAAGUGGGGAGGUGGGUACAAUGCUACAAAUGAGUCCCAUUUUCCUAGAUUGUCUCCAGUUGGGGAGCUUAAGCUGAUCCGAGUAUAUCUGAACUAUGCUGGGGGGCAAGUAGCUUUUUAUGAUGCUCAUACCGCAGCCCAUCUCUACACAUUCUCCAGAGCCUUGUUUGCAGGAGAGACCCUGUUCCCGUUCUUUCACAUCUAUGGAAAAGGCCACCUCAGAAUCUCACCAUAAGGCUGGCAAGCAAGCUGACCCCUUCUCUUCCUGCCAUGCACUCUGGAGCAGAAUUCUUCUCAAAAUCUGAAACUUUCUUUUUUGUGUUAUUUUGAAAUGACAUAUGUUCCAGUUUCAGAUUGAGUGUAGCCAAGCCUCCGUAGGGGUAUGUCAUUGAAGAAUAAUAUCAUGAAAGUUGACAUGUGCUGUUCCUCUGUUUUUUUAAUCUCUUAAAAUCUUAAAUUUCCAUGUUAGCUUCUGUUUUCUGAGUCUUCAAACUUCAGGGCUUUCCCCACCUCCUUUUUCCCUCGAAGGCAACCUUCAGAGAGAAAGGGCCAUAGCAGAAGUUGUUAAAGAUGUAGAGAAGUCCUUGUAAGAUUUUUUUUGUCCCUGACAAAAAUAUCUACAUGAGUGUAUUUUUGUCUCCCAGGAUGCUCUGCUGCUCUGACUUGAAAGUUGUCACUUGUGAUUCAGGGAACUUUAAAGGGAAGUGAAUUCACUGAAUUUGAAUUUAUUAGGUAAUUUGACUCCAUCUUUUGUACCACUACUGGUGUUCAGUAAGAUAUCUAGAAUUCCCGUGUCAUCAUACAUCAGUAGUGUUGCGAAUGGUCACUGUGCUUAGUUUUAUAUGCUCUUUAAUUUUACUUGAACAUUUGCAUCUCUGGCAAUUCUUUCUCUUGGUCCUACUGUUUACAUUUUCACAUUCUGGACGUCUACAUUGAUGGACGCAGCUGCCAAUUUUGUCAUGCAUUUGACAUGGCGAACUCAAGCCGAGUAACAUUUAAGCCACAAUAAAUUAGUUUGUUCUUAGAGCA